GCUUCAAAAGCCUUGGAUGAAAGAUGCUUUUCUAAGUACAAAGAAUCACCAUUUGUUUGCACUGAGGGCUAGAGUUAGAAACUUACCUCAGCAGGACUGUCUCACAUCUCACUAUGAUACCUCAUGCAUGAAGCUGAUAAACUUAAGACCAUUUCCUAUAGAGAGUAACAACGCAAGCAGUGUAUGGUGCCAGUGGUAGAUGGCUACCUGGGGAAGCUGGAGGCCAACUGGAAGAGUCUGAAUGGAGUCCCCUGGCACAUGAUCUGUUUCUUCCCGGCUGCUUGCAAAAUUUUCUCUUUGAUUUGGGAGCUGUGGAUCUUGGCAACCAUAUUUCUGGGUGA
rnacentral:lncRNA from 1 species